rnacentral:misc_RNA from 1 species
AACUUUCAGCAACGUAUCACGUGGCUCUCGCGUCGAUUAAGAACGCAGCGAAAUGCGAUAAGUAAUGUGAAUUGCAGAAUUCAGUGAAUCAUCGAAUCUUUGAACGCACCUUGCGCCCCUUGGUUAUUCCUUGGGGCAUGCCUGUUUGAGUAUCAUGAACACCUCAACUCUAACGGUUCACCCGUGACGAGUUGGACUUCUGGAGGUUUUGCUGGCCCUGUGGUCAGCUCCUCUCAAAUGGAUCAGCUUACCAGUGUUUGGUGGCGCCAUGGGUGUGAUAACUAUCUACGCUUGUGGCUGUCCGCCAGGUCACCUUCAGCGAUGGGGGUUUGCUGGGGCUCACAAACGUCUCUCCUCAGUGAAGACAGCUUUAUGAAAGUUCGAUCUCAAAUCAGGUAGGACUACCCGCUGAACUUAAGCAUAUCAAUAAGCGGAGGCU